rnacentral:rRNA from 1 species
GAACGCUAGCGAUAGGCUUAACACAUGCAAGUCGAGGGGCAGCAUGAUCUUAGCUUGCUAAGGUUGAUGGCGACCGGCGCACGGGUGCGUAACGCGUAUGCAACUUGCCUUACAGAGGGGGAUAACCCGUUGAAAGACGGACUAAAACCGCAUACACUUGUAUUAUUGCAUGAUAUUACAAGGAAAUAUUUAUAGCUGUAAGAUAGGCAUGCGUCCCAUUAGCUGGUUGGUGAGGUAACGGCUCACCAAGGCGACGAUGGGUAGGGGAACUGAGAGGUUUAUCCCCCACACUGGUACUGAGACACGGACCAGACUCCUACGGGAGGCAGCAGUGAGGAAUAUUGGUCGAUGGGCGAUAGCCUGAACCAGCCAAGUCGCGUGAAGGAAGACAGUCCUAAGGAUUGUAAACUUCUUUUAUACGGGAAUAACGGGCGAUACGAGUAUUGCAUUGAAUGUACCGUAAGAAUAAGCAUCGGCUAACUCCGUGCCAGCAGCCGCGGUAAUACGGAGGAUGCGAGCGUUAUCCGGAUUUAUUGGGUUUAAAGGGUGCGUAGGUUGUUCGGUAAGUCAGCGGUGAAACCUGAGCGCUCAACGUUCAGCCUGCCGUUGAAACUGCCGGGCUUGAGUUCAGUGGCGGCAGGCGGAAUUCGUGGUGUAGCGGUGAAAUGCAUAGAUAUCACGAGGAACUCCGAUUGCGAAGGCAGCUUGCCAUACUGCGACUGACACUGAAGCACGAAGGCGUGGGUAUCAAACAGGAUUAGAUACCCUGGUAGUCCACGCAGUAAACGAUGAUUACUAGGAGUUUGCGAUAUACCGUCAAGCUUCCACAGCGAAAGCGUUAAGU